CGCAAUCCCCCACUUUCUGGCCGAGGGAGGGUCCGGCGAUUUCUGACCGUUUUUGUUGAAGGAAAAGUGAGAAUUCUUCCCGCGGUGAAAGGGAAAUUCACGCAGGUAAGGAGGGUUACACUUGACUUGGAGGGAGUGCAGUGAAGACUCACUUGAAUGCUUCCAGGAACAACAGUGUCUCUGGUCCCAGUAGAACAGAUAACAUAAUUUGUCAAAGGAACCUUGAUGACCUUGGGACUGGAACAUGCACAGUGGAGAAAAAUUAAGCAGAACUUAAGACUUCAAUAAAGGAGUGGAUGACAAAACAACCCGUGGCUACAACAAGCUUCCAAACAGCCAGUUCUCCUGUUCAUCCUCAGCUGUUGGAUAUGCAAAGCCACUGGAGAGCAG